rnacentral:rRNA from 1 species
CCUACGGGAGGCAGCAGUGGGGAAUAUUGCACAAUGGGGGAAACCCUGAUGCAGCGACGCCGCGUGAGUGAAGAAGUAAUUCGUUAUGUAAAGCUCUAUCAGCAGGGAAGAAAAUGACGGUACCUGAGUAAGAAGCCCCGGCUAACUACGUGCCAGCAGCGGCGGUAAGACGUAGGGGGCAAGCGUUAUCCGGAUUUACUGGGUGUAAAGGGAGCGUAGACGGCAGUGCAAGUCUGGAGUGAAAGGCGGGGGCUCAACCCCCGGACUGCUCUGGAAACUGUACGGCUGGAGUGCAGGAGAGGUAAGUGGAAUGCCUAGUGUAGCGGUGAAAUGCGUAGAUAUUAGGAAGAACACCAGUGGCGAAGGCGGCUUACUGGACUGUAACUGACGUUGAGGCUCGAAAGCGUGGGGAGCAAACAGGAUUAGAUACCCCAGUAGUC